rnacentral:rRNA from 1 species
AUAAAAAACCAACGCCCUUCGGGGCUCCUUGGUGAAUCAUAAUAACUUAACGAAUCGCAUGGCCUUGCGCCGGCGAUGGUUCAUUCAAAUUUCUGCCCUAUCAACUUUCGAUGGUAGGAUAGUGGCCUACCAUGGUGGCAACGGGUAACGGGGAAUUAGGGUUCGAUUCCGGAGAGGGAGCCUGAGAAACGGCUACCACAUCCAAGGAAGGCAGCAGGCGCGCAAAUUACCCAAUCCCGAUACGGGGAGGUAGUGACAAUAAAUACUGAUACGGGGCUCUUUUGGGUCUCGUAAUUGGAAUGAGAACAAUUUAAAUCCCUUAACGAGGAACAAUUGGAGGGCAAGUCUGGUGCCAGCAGCCGCGGUAAUUCCAGCUCCAAUAGCGUAUAUUAGAGUUGUUGCAGUUAAAAAGCUCGUAGUUGAACCUUGGGCCUGGCUGGUCGGUCCGCCUCACCGCGAGUACUGAUCCGGCUGGGCCUUUCCUUCUGGGGAACCUUAUGGCCUUCACUGGCUGUGGC